UUCAGGAUGUGCGCCCAGAGUGGGCGGCUGGAACCGGUGCCCAAAGGGCGGUACCCAGGAGGAGAAGCGGAUCAGUGGUCCUGCUCCCCAAAAAGCAGCCACUGGGAUUCCAGGGUUGGCCGGAAUCAAUCAGUCCCUAAGCCUCCUUUUAAACCAGGGAGUCAGGGUCGCUGGGAGGGUCAGGGUCUGAUCCAAGGUCACAUCAGGGGGUUGAGGAGCAACGGGCAGCGAGGUGGGGAGGGCAGGAGGCGCGGGCUGGGGUCCGGUCGCCUCCAGCUGCAGGGCUGAGGGUCCGGCGACCUGGGGCUCUGACCCGCCCCUCUCGGCCCGGCUCCGGACCGCACCCCUCCGGGGCCGGUUCCGGUCGGACCGGAAGCACGUGGCCCCCUAUCCUGCGCGGUUGCCGGGGAGACGGGGCUGUUUACCAGCGGGCCGCGCCAGGCGCAGG
rnacentral:lncRNA from 1 species